UACGUAGGGUCCGAGCGUUGUCCGGAAUUAUUGGGCGUAAAGGGCUCGUAGGCGGUUUGUCGCGUCGGGAGUGAAAACUCGGGGCUUAACCCCGAGCCUGCUUCUGAUACGGGCAGACUAGAGGUAUGCAGGGGAGAACGGAAUUCCUGGUGUAGCGGUGAAAUGCGCAGAUAUCAGGAGGAACACCGGUGGCGAAGGCGGUUCUCUGGACAGUUCCUGACGCUGAGGCACGAAGGCCAGGGG
rnacentral:rRNA from 1 species